rnacentral:rRNA from 1 species
GACGAACGCUGGCGGCACGCUUAACACAUGCAAGUCGAACGAGCGGAGAGAAGCUUGCUUUUCAAAGCUAGUGGCGGACGGGUGAGUAACACGUGAGCAAUCUGCCUUUCAGAGGGGGAUACCUGUUGGAAACGACAGUUAAUACCGCAUAAAAUAAUUUUACCGCAUGAUAAAAUUAUCAAAGAUUUAUCGCUGAAAGAUGAGCUCGCGUCUGAUUAGCUAGUUGGUAAGGUAACGGCCUACCAAGGCAACGAUCAGUAGCCGGACUGAGAGGUUGGACGGCCACAUUGGGACUGAGACACGGCCCAGACUCCUACGGGAGGCAGCAGUGGGGAAUAUUGCACAAUGGAGGAAACUCUGAUGCAGCGAUGCCGCGUGAGGGAAGAAGGUUUUAGGAUUGUAAACCUCUGUCUUAGGGGACGAUAAUGACGGUACCCUAGGAGGAAGCUCCGGCUAACUACGUGCCAGCAGCCGCGGUAAUACGUAGGGAGCGAGCGUUGUCCGGAAUUACUGGGUGUAAAGGGAGUGUAGGCGGGACUGCAAGUCAGAUGUGAAAACUAUGGGCUUAACCCAUAGACUGCAUUUGAAACUGCGGUUCUUGAGUGAAGUAGAGGUAAGCGGAAUUCCUAGUGUAGCGGUGAAAUGCGUAGAUAUUAGGAGGAACAUCAGUGGCGAAGGCGGCUUACUGGGCUUUAACUGACGCUGAGGCUCGAAAGCGUGGGGAGCAAACAGGAUUAGAUACCCUGGUAGUCCACGCUGUAAACGAUGAAAGUAGGUGUGGGGGGACUGACCCCUUCCGUGCCGCAGUAACACAAUAAUAAUCCACCUGGGGAGUACGGCCGCAAGGCUGAAACUCAAAGGAAUUGACGGGGGCCCGCACAAGCAGUGGAGUAUGUGGAUUAAUUCGAAGCAACGCGAAGAACCUUACCAGGUCUUGACAUCGUAUGCAUAGCUCAGAGAUGAGUGAAAUCCCUUCGGGGACAUAUAGACAGGUGUGCAUGGUUGUCGUCAGCUCGUGUCGUGAGAUGUUGGGUUAAGUCCCGCAACGAGCGCAACCCUUAUGUUUAGUUGCUACGCAAGAGCACUCUAGACAGACUGCCGUUGACAAAACGGAGGAAGGUGGGGAUGACGUCAAAUCAUCAUGCCCCUUAUGACCUGGGCCUCACACGUACUACAAUGGCUAUAAACAAAGUGAAGCAAGACAGUGAUGUGGAGCAAAACACAAAAAAUAGUCUUAGUUCGGAUUGUAGGCUGCAACCCGCCUACAUGAAGUCGGAAUUGCUAGUAAUCGCAGAUCAGCAUGCUGCGGUGAAUACGUUCCCGGGCCUUGCACU